ensembl:lncRNA
AGGGUAUGCUGUGACAUCUUUUUUCACAUUGAGUUAUUAAUAUGAGUAUGUAUUUUUUUUAGGUCUUCUUUGUACAUUAUGACAGACCAGACCAAAACUACUCUAGGUGAGCCCAGAACACUAUGAAAUCAAGUUCAGUUUCAGUUCAGAUUCAAGUUCAAAAGUCUAUUAAAAUGCAUAGUGUUUUUUUAUAUUAUAUAGUGUUAUUUAUAUAUUAUAUUAUUUAUUUAUUUAUUUAUUUUUUUGCAAAGAUUGGCUCCCAGCUUGUUUUAAAGUCCUGAAAAUUUCAAGAACCCAUGUAUCUGGCUUCAUCACCAACAAAGCUGACCUCAGCACUGUACUAGAAUGCCACAAGAGAGAAACACUGACAUCAUUUGUUGCUUGGUCUGAUGAUAAAAGAAAGAAAGAACAGGGGCCACAUCGUCUGGUUUGGCAGGUGGAAGAUUUGUCUGAGAAUGUUCCUCUUGCUGUUACGAACAGAGUAAUUCAUUGUUGUCAGCAUGGCAAUCCACGAAAUAAUUGCAAAAAUCUGGAGGUAGGAUUCAGGAUAUGUUUUUGUUGUUGUUGUUUUUUUUAAAUGGAUUAACUAAUGCAAAUUUUACAAAGGCAUACUUUUCUCUGAACUUUUUUUUUCUCCAUAUAUUUCAGCUCUCUACAGAACAUGAGCAUGUAUACUCUGGCAAAAGGAAAAGAAUGUACAUACAA